rfam:Hordeum vulgare subsp. vulgare, WGS project CAJW01000000 data, contig: morex_contig_46738
AAUCUACUCCCUUCGUGCCAAAAUUCUUGUCUUAGGUUUGUCUAAAUAUGAAUGUAUCUAAUCACAUUUUGGUAUUUAGAUACAUCCAUUUCUAAACAAAACUAAGACAAUAAUUUUGAGACGGAGGGAGUAUAUG